UUGGUUGUGCACUUAUCGUUUUUAUCGAUGAACCAAGAUUCAUUUAUGUCUUUUACAAAAAGGGCAUACGAAAAGAGACGCAGUAGACGUGUCCAAAAAGAAUAUUAAAAAAUACUAGAAUUUUCAUCAGUACAUAUAGAAAAAAAAAUCGAAUGUUGGAACUUCUAAAAGAAAUGAUUUCUUAUCUUGCGAAAAUCUAAAAGAAUAUUUUGACCAUCAUGAGUCAUUGAUUUUGUACAAUAAAUACUCUUAUAACCAAAAGCCUAAUGAGUAUGAGCAUAACCCAACUUUAAAGGAAAGUUUUUCUGCAUGUUUUUCUAACCAAGUAAUUAUGCACUAAACAAGUGGAUUGAAAAAUAAGAAUAGCAACAAGUUUAUUGUAAUAACAGAAUAGCAACAAAUUUAUUGUCCCAAAAAAAAACUAUAAUCAUGCACUGAAAAACAACCUUUCGUCAACAAAAGAAUGGCACAAAUUUCCAUUGAUAAAGUAUAAGAUAACAGAUAGUCAGUAUCUAACUUGUUUUGUGUUUUUUUUAAAGAGAUGCAAAAUGUUAUUCUCAACGAGCUUGCAGAAAUAAAAGUUCUUUUAAAAGAAGUUAUAGAAAUUAAGUUUCAGGCUACUGGGGUGAAGUUGCUAGAAUCAGUGGACGAAGUGGUUACACUGGAUAAUAAACUAAAAGAUAAAACUGAGUAUACUAAUUUGCUUGGUAGUUUGAAAAAGAUUGGUGGUAGAAAGCCAAGAGAACAUGUUUUUUUUUGAUCAUGAAAAGAUUUACUUUUAACAUGACAAUUUGAUAAAUUCGGGAGCUUCACUGUUAUUUUCGAAUCAGUUACAGUCCAAAUUUAAUCGAAAAGGAAAUGGGGAAAAGAUAAGCAUAGAAAAUCUAGUAAAUAUAUGGAGUGUUAUACGAGAUAUCGGCGACGUGGAAGAAAAUGUUGACGGCAAUGCAAAAAUAUAGUUUCUUAUGUAUAUUUUUGUGAAAUAAAAAUUAAGUAAUGUUAGU